rnacentral:rRNA from 1 species
UGGGGAAUAUUGGACAAUGGGCGAAAGCCUGAUCCAGCCAUGCCGCGUGGGUGAUGAAGGCCUUAGGGUUGUAAAGCCCUUUCGGCGGGGAAGAUAAUGACGGUACCCGCAGAAGAAGCCCCGGCAAACUUCGUGCCAGCAGCCGCGGUAAUACGAAGGGGGCUAGCGUUGCUCGGAAUCACUGGGCGUAAAGCGCACGUAGGCGGAUCGUUAAGUCGGGGGUGAAAUCCUGGAGCUCAACUCCAGAACUGCCUUCGAUACUGGCGACCUUGAGUCCGGGAGAGNUGAGUGGAACUCCGAGUGUAGAGGUGAAAUUCGUAGAUAUUCGGAAGAACACCAGUGGCGAAGGCGGCUCACUGGCCCGGAACUGACGCUGAGGUGCGAAAGCGUGGGGAGCAGACA